rnacentral:tRNA from 2 species
AGGGAUGUAGUGCAGCUUGGUAGCGCCCUUGUUUUGGGUAAAAAAUGUCACGGGUUCAAAUCAUGUCAUCCCUA